UACAGAGGUGCCGAGCGUUUAGGCGGAAUCACUGGGCUUAAAGCGUGUGUAGGCGGAUUUUUAAGUACCUUGUGAAAUCCCAUGGCUUAACCAUGGAACUGCUGGGUAUACUGGAUAUCUUGAGCCAACUAGGGGGCUACCGGAACAAAUGGUGGAGCGGUGAAAUGCGUAGAUAUCAUUUGGAACGCCAAUGGUGAAAAACAGGUAGCUGGGGGUUGUGCUGACGCUGAGACACGAAAGCCAGGGGAGCGAACGGGG
rnacentral:rRNA from 1 species